AACUUUCAGCAACGGAUCUCUUGGCUCUCCCAUCGAUGAAGAACGCAGCGAAAUGCGAUAAGUAAUGUGAAUUGCAGAAUUCAGUGAAUCAUCGAAUCUUUGAACGCACCUUGCGCCCUUUGGUAUUCCGAAGGGCAUGCCUGUUUGAGUGUCA
rnacentral:rRNA from 1 species